rnacentral:rRNA from 1 species
AUUGAACGCUGGCGGAAUGCUUUACACAUGCAAGUCGAACGGCAGCACGGGGGCAGCCCUGGUGGCGAGUGGCGAACGGGUGAGUAAUACAUCGGAACGUGCCCAGUCGUGGGGGAUAACGUAGCGAAAGCUACGCUAAUACCGCAUACGAACUCUGGUUGAAAGCGGGGGACUCGCAAGGGCCUCGCGCGAUUGGAGCGGCCGAUGGCAGAUUAGGUAGUUGGUGGGGUAAAGGCNCACCAAGCCGACGAUCUGUAGCUGGUCUGAGAGGACGACCAGCCACACUGGGACUGAGACACGGCCCAGACUCCUACGGGA